rnacentral:rRNA from 1 species
UAAGGAAUAUUGGUCAAUGGACGCAAGUCUGAACCAGCCAUGCCGCGUGGAGGAUGAAGGCCCUCUGGGUUGUAAACUUCUUUUAUAUGGGACGAAAAAGGGUCUUUCUAGAUCAACUGACGGUAUCAUGUGAAUAAGCACCGGCUAACUCCGUGCCAGCAGCCGCGGUAAUACGGAGGGUGCAAGCGUUAUCCGGAUUCACUGGGUUUAAAGGGUGCGUAGGUGGGUUGGUAAGUCAGUGGUGAAAUCUUCGAGCUUAACUCGGAAACUGCCAUUGAUACUAUAGGGCUUGAAUCAUCUGGAGGUGAGCGGAAUAUGUCAUGUAGCGGUGAAAUGCUUAGAUAUGACAUAGAACACCGAUUGCGAGGGCAGCUCACUACGGAUGUAUUGACACUGAGGCACGAAAGCGUGGGGAUCAAACA